rnacentral:rRNA from 1 species
UACGUAGGGGGCGAGCGUUGUCCGGAUUUACUGGGCGUAAAGCGCGUGUAGGCGGGAGAUUAAGUUGGGUGUGAAAGCCCGGGGCUCAACCCCGGGAUGCCGCCCAAGACUGGUCUCCUUGAGGACGGAAGAGGGGAGUGGAAUUCCUGGUGUAGCGGUGAAAUGCGUAGAGAUCAGGAGGAACACCGGUGGCGAAGGCGGGUCUCUGGGCCAUUACUGACGCUGAGGAGCGAAAGCGUGGGGAGCGAACAGG